UGGUUUUUAAAUGGCCGCGGUACUUUGACCGUGCAAAGGUAGCAUAAUCAUUUGCCCCCUAAUUGGUGGCUUGUAUGAAAGAAAGAAUAAAGGCUUUGCUGUCUCUUUAGUAAAUUAGAAAUUGCUGUUGCGGUGAAGAAGCCGCAGUGCCUAAAAAAGACAAGAAGACCCUAUUAAGCUUUACUUUUUAGUUUUGUUUUUUAUCUUAUAAAGAAUAAAAAACAAAACCUUUAAGUUUGGUUGGGGUGACUGGAAAGGAAAGAAUCCUUUCUUUAUUUUUUUAUUUUCAUUUUAAUUAUGAUCCAAAUUUUUUGAUUAAUAGAAUAAGUUACUAUAGGGAUAACAGCGUAAUUUUUUCGGAAAGUUCUUAUUUAUGAAAAAGUUUGCGACCUCGAUGUUGACUUAUUGUUUCCUUUUAAGGUGUAGAAGUUG
rnacentral:rRNA from 1 species